rnacentral:rRNA from 1 species
UGGGCGUAAAGAGCUCGUAGGUGGUUUGUCGCGUUGUUCGUGAAAUCUCACGGCUUAACUGUGAGCGUGCGGGCGAUACGGGCAGACUUGAGUACUGCAGGGGAGACUGGAAUUCCUGGUGUAGCGGUGGAAUGCGCAGAUAUCAGGAGGAACACCGGUGGCGAAGGCGGGUCUCUGGGCAGUAACUGACGCUGAGGAGCGAAAGCGUGGGGAGCGAACAGGAUUAGAUACCCUGGUAGUCCACGCCGUAAACGGUGGGUACUAGGUGUGGGUUUCCUUCCUUGGGAUCCGUGCCGUAGCUAACGCAUUAAGUACCCCGCCUGGGGAGUACGGCCGCAAGGCUAAAACUCAAAGAAAUUGACGGGGGCCCGCACAAGCGGCGGAGCAUGUGGAUUAAUUCGAUGCAACGCGAAGAACCUUACCUGGGUUUGACAUGCACAGGACGCCGGCAGAGAUGUCGGUUCCCUUGUGGCCUGUGUGCAGGUGGUGCAUGGCUGUCGUCAGCUCGUGUCGUGAGAUGUUGGGUUAAGUCCCGCAACGAGCGCAACCCUUGUCUCAUGUUGCCAGCGGGUAAUGCCGGGGACUCGUGAGAGACUGCCGGGGUCAACUCGGAGGAAGGUGGGGAUGACGUCAAGUCAUCAUGCCCCUUAUGUCCAGGGCUUCACACAUGCUACAAUGGCCGGUACAAAGGGCUGCGAUGCCGCGAGGUUAAGCGAAUCCUUUUAAAGCCGGUCUCAGUUCGGAUCGGGGUCUGCAACUCGACCCCGUGAAGUCGGAGUCGCUAGUAAUCGCA